GCCAGGAAAGUUUAGAUACCCACAACUCAUCAGGAGGAAAAGUUUUCAAGAAAAACAGAGACAACAGAACCAAAAGCACUGGGGGAACAGGUAGAGAAGAAAAAAGACCAGUGAACCAACUGAAUGGUCAGCUCAGAAGAUUAGAAGGUGUCCUGGUUUCAGUUAGAACAGAGUUAAUUUUCUUCCUAGAAGCUGGUAGAAUACUAUAUUUUGGCUUAGGAUGAGAAGAGUGCUGAUAACACCCCGAUGUUUUAAUUGUUGCAGAGCAGUGCUUAUACUAAGCCAAGGACAUCUCAGCUUCUUGCUCUGUCCUGACAAUGGGCACGCUGGGGGUGCAGUAAGAGCUGGGAGGGGACAGACCCAGGACAGGUGACCCAAACUAGCCAAGGGGAUAUUCCAUACCAUCUGACAUCAUGCUAAACAAUAUAUAGGGGUGGCUAGCUGGGAGAGGGGGGGGCCAGACUGCUCGGGGUUAGGCUGGGCAUCGGUCAGCGGGUGGUGAGCAAUUGCAUUGUGCAUCACUUGUUUGUACACAUUAUUAGUAGUAGUACUACUACUACUAUUAUUAUUAUUAUUAAUUAUUAUUAUUAUUAUUAUUAUUAUUAUUAUUAUUAUUAUUAUUAUUAUUAUUAUUAUUAUUAUUAUUUUCCUGUCUUAAUAAGCUGUCUUUAUCUCAGCUCACAGGCUUCACUUUCCAUUUCUCUCCCCCGUCCCAGAGAGGGAGGGGGGAGGGUGAGCGAACGGCUGUGUGGUGUUUAGCUGCCGGCUGGGUUAAACCACGACAGAAGGACAAGGUGGACUACAGAAUGAGAUAUCUAUAAAGGAAGAAAAUGUGGAGGGUUAUUCUGUCCUGGAUGUAGAACUUUCUACCUUUGUUGAAACAUGCAGUGCUUCUCCUGGACCAUCUCUCUGGCUUUCCAAAGUUUCUUUCCUCAGAAACAGAGCCCUGACCUGCAUAUUGACACUACCCUGGUGCUGUGCCAGCUCUGGUUCAGGUACUGGCACAGCAAGUCCUCUGAACUACAGGAAAAUGAUGUGGCAUGAAGAAAAUUAGUGUGGUGGACAGAUAAGAAAGGCUGUUAGGACACCCAUUUAUGCUUUAGGAGAUUAGAAGAAAUGCAGCAUAUCAGAGCUGAGAACGGUUAUGGUUCUUGGCAGAUGUAGGAAGCAUGUGUUCUAUAUGCACUCUGUAUGGAAGCAUUGAGUGCUCAGCAGAGCUCUGAAUCCCCUCAGACAGAGCCCAGACACUCUGAAAUAAAAAAACAGACAUUGGUCUGGCUGCA
rnacentral:lncRNA from 1 species